UGCCAGCCGCCGCGGUAAUACGGAGGGGGUUAGCGUUGUUCGGAAUUAUUGGGCGUAAAGCGUGCGUAGGCGGACUGUUAAGUCUGAUGUGAAAUCCCGCGGCUCAACCGCGGACGUGCAUUGGAUACUGGCAGUCUUGAGUCCUGGAGAGGAGAGCGGAAUUCCUAGUGUAGAGGUGAAAUUCGUAGAUAUUUGGAGGAACACCAGUGGCGAAGGCGGCUCACUGGCUCGAUACUGACGCUGAGGUACGAAAGUGUGGGGAGCAAACAGGAUUAGAUA
rnacentral:rRNA from 1 species